ensembl:snRNA U1 U1 spliceosomal RNA
GUACUUUGUUGGCUGGGGAGAAACCAUGGACAAGAAUGUGGGUUUCCUAGGGCAAGGCUCGUCCAUUGUAUUUGGGGUGUGCUGUCCCCUGAGAGCUGUCACAACUGAGGAAACUCCACAGCAUAAGUUGUGGUUCUGGGGUACUGCAUUCAUGCUCUCCCCUA